AUUGAACGCUGGCGGCAGGCCUAACACAUGCAAGUCGAGCGGAUGAAGGGGAGCUUGCUCCUGGAUUCAGCGGCGGACGGGUGAGUAAUGCCUAGGAAUCUGCCUGGUAGUGGGGGAUAACGUCCGGAAACGGGCGCUAAUACCGCAUACGUCCUGAGGGAGAAAGUGGGGGAUCUUCGGACCUCACGCUAUCAGAUGAGCCUAGGUCGGAUUAGCUAGUUGGUGGGGUAAAGGCCUACCAAGGCGACGAUCCGUAACUGGUCUGAGAGGAUGAUCAGCCACACUGGAACUGAGACACGGUCCAGACUCCUACGGGAGGCAGCAGUGGGGAAUAUUGGACAAUGGGCGAAAGCCUGAUCCAGCCAUGCCGCGUGUGUGAAGAAGGUCUUCGGAUUGUAAAGCACUUUAAGUUGGGAGGAAGGGCAGUAAGUUAAUACCUUGCUGUUUUGACGUUACCAACAGAAUAAGCACCGGCUAACUUCGUG
rnacentral:rRNA from 1 species